CUUUCCCAGCUCAGUUCAGCAACAAUAUCUAUGGGAAACAGCUGUGACAGUUCCCUUCAGCACAAUAUCCACAGGUCCAAGCUGUUAAAACUGUGGUUAGUCUGCUUGGGCUAUUGCUGUCUGCAAUACUCUUCAUAGAAGUAAGCAUUCUGCCUGAGACUGAGCUGUGGUUACAGAAACUUUGGACAAAUGCUGCAAAACUCAGAAGCAGAUGGUACUUAAGAUAUCCUUAUUUAUUGCUCCUCAUCCAACAUUUUGACUUCAAAUGGAAAAACAAACCUGGUAGUCUGCAAGCUGAAGGUGUGGCGGGCCACUAUACUGCCUUGGCUGACGUCCCUGCUAUUCUGGGUCCUUUUGUGGCUUUUGAAAAUCCAGAAUCACCGAUGUUACAGUUGAUCUGAAUCACAGAGCAUCCUUUAAGAGCACACUGUGGAGGGAACUCAAGGUACUGUAAUGGUGUUGUAGUGGUGCUGCUGACAGCCAUAUAUGCAGCAACUCUAUAACUGUAUAAACACAUUUCUGCUCCUCUGCUGGGGAGAGGGACAGCUCAUCAACAUGUUUGGCCCAAAUUCAGAAUAACCUUUGUUUUUCUACUGCUCUAUGGCAUUUGGCAGACAAAAGAAGACUUGAAACUGGCUAAUGCUGCCUUCAUGCUCAGCAUCUUGCUGCUGUGUGGGCUAGCAGGAGGUGUUUGGCCUGAGCAGACAGUCUGGUAGUGCUCAUUGGGGUGGCCUUAUGUAUUCAUAUUCGAGGGGCAGUUGAAGCUUUGGUUUAAGAUAAAAGUCAGGACUUGGUGACUCAAAUUGCUACCCAAGCAGUAUAAAUUUAGAAAGCAGUCUAUAAUCCUCAAACCAGCAGAUGUUUCCUAUAUUUGUUGAAAAUGUCUGAUGCACAGGCUGGAAAAGAAUAUGAAAUACCUUAAGUAGUGCAGGUAAUUGUGCCAAGUCUCAUCUGAUUAAUAUAGUUAAUAUCACCACUUCUU
rnacentral:lncRNA from 1 species